AUUGAACGCUGGCGGCAGGCCUAACACAUGCAAGUCGAGCGGAUGAAGGGAGCUUGCUCCUGGAUUCAGCGGCGGACGGGUGAGUAAUGCCUAGGAAUCUGCCUGGUAGUGGGGGAUAACGUCCGGAAACGGGCGCUAAUACCGCAUACGUCCUGAGGGAGAAAGUGGGGGAUCUUCGGACCUCACGCUAUCAGAUGAGCCUAGGUCGGAUUAGCUAGUUGGUGGGGUAAAGGCCUACCAAGGCGACGAUCCGUAACUGGUCUGAGAGGAUGAUCAGUCACACUGGAACUGAGGCACGGUCCAGACUCCUACGGGAGGCAGCAGUGGGGAAUAUUGGACAAUGGGCGAAAGCCUGAUCCAGCCAUGCCGCGUGUGUGAAGAAGGUCUUCGGAUUGUAAAGCACUUUAAGUUGGGAGGAAGGGCAGUAAGUUAAUACCUUGCUGUUUUGACGUUACCAACAGAAUAAGCACCGGCUAACUUCGUGC
rnacentral:rRNA from 1 species